CUAAAUUAGAGUUAACUUUUAACAUUAACAGUGUAAUUCUAAUAUGAUACGAAAAACAGAUCGGAUCGUUACAAAUUUCUAUAAAACAAUUACAACUCUAAAGCAUCUUGGUCCAACGACCCUCCCCCCUUCCCUUCCCAAGCGGUUUGACUCUCCUAAGUGCCUAAACAAGUAUUUCGAAGAGACAACUUGCUGGGGGUCUAUUCCAUGGUGUAAUGCGGCUGUUCACAUUAUUCUGGUUCCUGAGAAAAUUUUUGUGUUGCCUGUCUGCAGUCCCCGAGGCUUUUGAUGUUAACGUGGGAAAUAGACUUAUAAAGAUUUAUUAAAUAUCAUCAUACAAAAAUAGCAUAUUUCCUCUCACGAUAGCUUUUUAUUUACAUUUAAAUAUCUUUUUAUAUUAAUUUAACUUAAAAAUUUUGCUAAUUUAUUUUUUUUAUUUAUAAACUCCAAAUGCGUAAUUGUACAUGACAUACAUACAUACGUUCCCUCUUGUAUAGUAAUUUAUUUAAAGUGAUAAACUUAAAAAUUUUUGAGUCAACAACCAUUAAUGGAUAACACAUGUACUGUACAAUCCAUUGAAAUAAAUGGAAAACAACAUUAAAAUUAUCAGACAGUUCAGAGUUUUUUAAAACAAAAUUUAUUCGUAUAAAGUUUAUAUAAAUUUUUCUAUAUUAAAAUGCCAACCUCCCACGAUAUUGGCUCCAGAAUCGAGAAAAAAAAAUGCAUUGUCUGUAGAGAGUGCAACAGCUAAGUAAUGAGAGAUAGACGGACAGACAUAGAAAGAAGAAAAGAGAAGGAAAAGAAAAAGAGGGGAGUGUAUGUGUGCGUGAAAGAAAGAAGGAGAGAGAGACAGAGAGAGAGACAAAGAGAGACAGGGAGAGAGACAGAAAGGGAUUACGAUAAGGGAAGAAAGAAAAAGAACGGAGAAAGGGAACCAGAGUGAGGAAGGCUAAAAGGUAGAACAAGAAAGGAGAGGAAGAAAGGUAAUAAAAAAGAGAAGCAAGCAAUGUAACUAUUAAGUAAAAAAUAAUCAAAUAAAACUGUUGUAAAUUAACAACUAUUGAUCAUUUUUAUGGUGAUAGUUCAUAUUCGAUAAACGGAGAAUUUGAAUGAGUAAAAAUUAUGAAAACGAAAAAAUUCUGAAGGAACAGGUUUCUGCAAGCGAGCGUAUAAGCAUUAUUCCUCUCUGUUACUCCUUCAGACUCAAGGGACGCGGGUGCGUGCUCAACCAGACAGGCGGUUUACGGUUGAAUUCAGGACCGUAUCUUCUUAUUUGCGUUUUACUCGCUUAUCUUGAUAGUAAAUUACAUAACUUU